rnacentral:rRNA from 1 species
UACGGAGGAUGCGAGCGUUAUCCGGAUUUAUUGGGUUUAAAGGGUGCGUAGGCGGACUGUCAAGUCAGCGGUAAAAUUGAGAGGCUCAACCUCUUCCCGCCGUUGAAACUGGUGGUCUUGAGUGGAUGAGAAGUACGCGGAAUGCGUGGUGUAGCGGUGAAAUGCAUAGAUAUCACGCAGAACUCUGAUUGCGAAGGCAGCGUACCGGCAUCCAACUGACGCUGAGGCACGAAAGCGUGGGGAUCAAACAGG